rnacentral:rRNA from 1 species
AUUGAACGCUGGCGGCAGGCUUAACACAUGCAAGUCGAGCGAGCGGCGGACGGGUGAGUAAUGUCUGGGAAACUGCCUGAUGGAGGGGGAUAACUACUGGAAACGGUAGCUAAUACCGCAUACCCUCAGAUGUGCCCCGAUGGGAUUAGCUAGUAGGUGGGGUAAUGGCUCACCUAGGCGACGAUCCCUAGCUGGUCUGAGAGGCUGACCAGCCACACUGGAACUGAGACACGGUCCAGAAGCCUACGGGAGGCAGCAGUGGGGAAUAUUGCACAAUGGGCGAAAGCCUGAUGCAGCCAGGCCGCGUGUGUGAAGAAGGCCUUCGGGUUGUAAAGCACUUGCAGCGAGGAGGCGUUACUCGAAGAAGAAGCACCGGCUAACGCCGUGCCAGCAGCCGCGGUAAUUC